GAUGAACGCUGGCGGCGUGCCUAAUACAUGCAAGUCGAGCGAACAGACGAGGAGCUUGCUCCUUUGACGUUAGCGGCGGACGGGUGAGUAACACGUGGAUAACCUACCUAUAAGACUGGGAUAACUUCGGGAAACCGGAGCUAAUACCGGAUAACAUGUUGAACCGCAUGGUUCAACAGUGAAAGACGGUCUUGCUGUCACUUAUAGAUGGAUCCGCGCCGCAUUAGCUAGUUGGUAAGGUAACGGCUUACCAAGGCAACGAUGCGUAGCCGACCUGAGAGGGUGAUCGGCCACACUGGAACUGAGACACGGUCCAGACUCCUACGGGAGGCAGCAGUAGGGAAUCUUCCGCAAUGGGCGAAAGCCUGACGGAGCAACGCCGCGUGAGUGAAGAAGGUCUUCGGAUCGUAAAACUCUGUUAUUAGGGAAGAACAAAUGUGUAAGUAACUAUGCACGUCUUGACGGUACCUAAACAGAAAGCCACGGCUAACUACGUG
rnacentral:rRNA from 1 species